UAGCUCAGUGGUAGAGCGCUUGCCUUGCAUGCAUGAGGCCCUGAGUUUGAUUCCUCAG
rnacentral:tRNA from 1 species